AUACCGAGGGUGCGAGCGUUAAUCGGAAUUACUGGGCGUAAAGAGUACGUAGGUGGUUUAUUAAGUCAGAUGUGAAAGCCCCGGGCUCAACCUGGGAACUGCAUUUGAAACUAGUAAACUAGAGUAUGGUAGAGGGGGGUAGAAUUUCUAGUGUAGCGGUGAAAUGCGUAGAUAUUAGAAGGAAUACCAGUGGCGAAGGCGGCCCCCUGGACCAAUACUGACACUGAGGUACGAAAGCGUGGGUAGCGAACAGGAUUAGAAACCCUAGUAGUCC
rnacentral:rRNA from 1 species